AUUGAACGCUAGCGGCAGGCUUAACACAUGCAAGUCGAACGAGCGGCGGACGGGUGAGUAAUGUAUGGGAAAGUGCCCGAUGGAGGGGGAUAACUACUGGAAACGGUAGCUAAUACCGCAUACCAUCAGAGGGGCCCAGAUUGGAUUAGCUAGUAGGUGGGGUAAAGGCUCACCUAGGCAACGAUCCCUAGCUGGUCUGAGAGGAUGACCAGCCACACUGGGACUGAGACACGGUCCAGACUCCUACGGGAGGCAGCAGUGGGGAAUAUUGGACAAUGGGCGAAAGCCUGAUCCAGCCAUGCCGCGUGUAUGAAGAAGGCCUUCGGGUUGUAAAGUACUUUUAGCGGGGAGGCGUUACUCGCAGAAGAAGCACCGGCUAACUACGUGCCAGCCGCCGCGGUAAUUC
rnacentral:rRNA from 1 species